rnacentral:rRNA from 1 species
UACGUAGGGUGCAAGCGUUAAUCGGAAUUACUGGGCGUAAAGCGUGCGCAGGCGGUGAUGUAAGACAGUUGUGAAAUCCCCCGGGCUCAACCUGGGAACUGCAUCUGUGACUGCAUUGCUGGAGUGCGGCAGAGGGGGAUGGAAUUCCGCGUGUAGCAGUGAAAUGCGUAGAUAUCUGGAGGAACACCGGUGGCGAAGGCGGCAUCCUGGACCGAGAUUGACGCUGAGGCGCGAAAGCGUGGGGGAGCGAACAGG